rnacentral:tRNA from 2 species
GUUUAUGUAGCUUAAACAUUAAAGCAAGGCACUGAAAAUGCCUAGACGAAUUUUAUAAUUCCGUAGACACA